GAUGAAGAACGUAGCGAAAUGCGAUAAGCAAUGUGAAUUGCAGAAUUCAGUGAAUCAUCGAAUCUUUGAACGCACAUUGCGCCCGCCAGUAUUCUGGCGGGCAUGCCUGUUCGAGCGUCAUUACAACCCUCAGGCCCCCGGGCCUGGCGUUGGGGAUCGGCGGAAGCCCCCUGCGGGCACAACGCCGUCCCCCAAAUACAGUGGCGGUCCCGCCGCAGCUUCCAUUGCGUAGUAGCUAACACCUCGCAACUGGAGAGCGGCGCGGCCACGCCGUAAAACACCCAACUUCUGAAUGUUGACCUCGAAUCAGGUAGGAAUACCCGCUGAACUUAAGCAUAUCAAUAAGCGGAGGA
rnacentral:misc_RNA from 1 species